UGCCGCGGUAGCUCAGUCGGUAGAGCAUCGGUCUGAAAAACCGAGUGUCGACGGUUCGAUUCCGUCCUGCGGCAU
rnacentral:tRNA from 1 species